UUUCCGUAGGUGAACCUGCGGAAGGAUCAUUCAUAAUAAGUGUUCUACUGCACUUUUUAAAAAUAGUACUCACCUUGUGUGCAAUGUUGUGUGAACUUCUACUUGUAGAAGUCCACACCUACACCAACCUAUAACCUUGAACCACUUUGUCUGAAAAACUAUUAUGAAUACUUAAUUCAAAAUACAACUUUCAACAACGGAUCUCUUGGCUCUC
rnacentral:misc_RNA from 1 species